GGCUUUGUAGCUCAGUUGGUAGAGCAGAGGACUGAAAAUCCUUGUGUCGUAAGUUCGAUUCUUACCGAAGCCA
rnacentral:tRNA from 1 species